rnacentral:rRNA from 1 species
GGAAUAUUGCACAAUGGAGGAAACUCUGAUGCAGUGACGCCGCGUGCAGGAAGAAGGUUUUCGGAUUGUAAACUGCUUUAGAUAGGGAAGAAAAAAGACAGUACCUAUAGAAUAAGCUCCGGCUAACUACGUGCCAGCAGCCGCGGUAAUACGUAGGGAGCAAGCGUUAUCCGGAUUUAUUGGGUGUAAAGGGUGCGUAGGCGGCAGAUUAAGUUAGAGGUGAAAUUCCGAGGCUCAACCUUGGCACUGCCUCUGAUACUGGUUUGCUAGCGAGUAGAUGCUGUAGGCGGAAUGUGUGGUGUAGCGGUGAAAUGCAUAGAGAUCACACAGAACACCGAUUGCGAAGGCAGCUUACAAAUCUAUAUCGGACGCUGAGGCACGAAAGCGUGGGGAGCAAACAG